UACGUAGGGGGCAAGCGUUGUCCGGAAUGACUGGGCGUAAAGGGAGUGUAGGCGGCUUAUCAAGUUAGAUGUGAAAUCCCUCGGCUCAACUGAGGAACUGCAACUAAAACUAUUUUUCUUGAGUGCAGGAGAGGAAAGUGGAAUUCCUAGUGUAGCGGUGAAAUGCGUAGAUAUUAGGAGGAACACCAGUGGCGAAGGCGACUUUCUGGACUGUAACUGACGUUGAGGCACGAAAGUGUGGGGAGCAAACAGG
rnacentral:rRNA from 1 species